ACAAAGCAAGCUGACAUCAGCAACCGUCUUCAGCCGCAGAUUCGCCAUUUUGUUUCCGAACUCUCAGACCGAACCCAGAUCUUUCUAGACUUUUAGUAAGAACAGCAGUUUGUUCAGACAUGGGAAAACAACCAGACUGGGACAACAUCGAGGACUGGAGCGCCCGUGACAGAGCCAAGCCGAGGUUUCUGAAAGACUGGCGGGAAAAAUUUUCGGACGUGGUCCACUGUGUCUGGGACCCCCUCUUGGGAAACAUGAUCGGACCAGCCAGUGUUGUGCUUGCCCUGACCAUCAUAGUCAUCGUGUCUGUUGCUGCCUAGGAAGAUCCAGUUUGUCCUGUGCACCGCGCGGCCAUUGGCGACUCAUGAUGACGUCAUUUCGUCGGUUCAACUUUCUUCGUCGGAGAAGACAUCUACAACCUGCACUGCGUGAAAUUUGAGCCUUAUUCACGACUUAAAGCAUGCGUAAAUUUUCUGUUUCUUCACUCGAUGGAGAAACGGAACCUUUACGGAUGUUUAAAAUUAAAUCUUUAAGCAUACAUUAAAAUUUAUUGUAUGCUUAAAGAUCAGAUUUUUUACUCGAUUGGAAAUAUGGAACCUUUACGCAUGUUUUCAAUCAAAUCUUUAAGCAUAUAUUAAAAUUUAAUGUAUGCUUAAAGAUACAUUUUUUGCAGUGAUGUUCAUUGGCCAGUUGAAUCACAUGGACUCCUCACUUACAAUCUUUUUAACUUAGAACGACUUAAUAUUUAACAUGUACCAACAAUCGUCUCCACAUAUUGUUUUAUCUCGAAAAUGUUUUUGUACCUAAAUACUUUCGUAACCUAUUUACAUGUACUACCCAAAAUGGUGUAGGAACCUUAGUUAUAUAUUCGUCCUGUAUCGUUUGUAAGGUAGCUCUGACGUAUAAUGAUAGUCUGGGUGUAGGAUAUACUGUACUGUGACAUCGUGGAAACAGCCCAGGAAAUUCUUACCUGUCAUUAGAUAUAGCUUUUCUUGCAUGCAACGUUUGUUUUGCUGUUAAUACGAAUCAUAUGAAAUUUUUUCUCGGGUUAAAGCAGUUGUUAAUCGCAAUACUUAAACAUUGGUGGUUGUGCCUUAAUAAAUUGUUCACUGAUAAUGUGUGGCGAAAAUCA